GAUGAAGAACGCAGCGAAAUGCGAUAGGUAAUGUGAAUUGCAGAAUUCAGCGAAUCAUCGAAUCUUUGAACGCACCUUGCGCCCUUUGGCUAUUCCGAAGGGCAUGCCUGUUUGAGUAUCGUGAACACCUCAACUCUCAUGGUUUGCCAUGAUGAGCUUGGACUUUGGGGGUUUUGCUGGCCUUUGGUCGGCUCCUCUCAAACGGAUCAGCUUUCCAGUGUUUGGUGGCGUCACGGGUGUGAUAACUAUCUACGCCUGUGGUUUUCUGCCAGAUAACCUUCAGCGAUGGAGGUUCGCUGGGGCUCAUAAAUGUCUCUCUUCAGUGGAGACAGCUUUUUGGACGUUUGAUCUCAAAUCAGGUAGGACUACCCGCUGAACUUAAGCAUAUCAAUAAGCGGAGGA
rnacentral:misc_RNA from 1 species